CUUGCGUGAUGCUGGGAAGGGAACCCCAAUGCCAGUCUUCCCUUGCACUUGGAGGAGCCUGUCUUGAUUUUGGAUGCUCUUUUUACACUUUUAAAAGAUCUAUUCUCUGAGCACAAAGACCAAACUUCACAUCUGCUUAUAGCACUGACAGAACCAUGGCAAUAUUUCACUCUCAGCAGGCAGUUGACUGGGAAAAAAAAAAAAAACAUGCCUCUGACACACUGCUUUUAUUCUUAUGCUGUUUCCAUGUGUUCUGUCUGCUGCCUCUGGCCUUGGUCUGAGGAGCAUUUUUAACCCUUCUGCUCAUUGCCAAAAGCUCAAUGAGAAGGAACGUCCCCUUGGGUUCCUUUAGUUGAGACCACAGUAUGCCUGGGCUCCUGCAGCCCCAGUGCAGCACAACUGCAGCCUGUCAGCAUCCCCUCACCCCCCGCAAUGUGCUCCUAUUUACUGCCAUAAUCAGCGCCUCUGAAAGGCAAGGCUGAACAACUGCUGUUAAAUAUAAUUGUCGCUGUGACAGGUCCACUGUGGUGAGAAAAUUCGUGCCUUUCAGAGCUGAUGACUCUGCUAAAGAGCAGUGGUAAAACCAGAGCUGAGUUCCUGGCCUCCUGGCCCAGAUGGCCGUGGCUCUGAGGAGUGAAGGCUGCUCCCUGUAUCCCAUGUGCAUUGAGGAGUGUUCGGCGUUAACCCUUCUCUCCAUUGCACAGGUGAGGCCUUGGAGGCUGAUGGUUCUGGAUCGCACAGAGCAGAAUCAGCAGGCAAGGGAAGUCCUCCUUCCCUUUGCUCUGCUCAGAGCUGGGCUGCCCAGUUCCAGGCAGACGGGGAACGGCUGCAGAGAUGGUGGGGGCCUGGAGCACCUACUGAUGGGGACGGCCUGAGGGCCCUGGGGCUGUUCACCUGGGGAAGGGAAGGCUGGGAGGGAUCUGCUCAGCGCUGAUCAAUAUGUGGAGGGCGGGGGUCAGGAGGAUGGGGCCGGGCUCUGCUCUGUGGUGCUCAGCGCCAGGACGAGGAGCGCCGCGCACAGACUGGAGCCCGGGGAGUUCCACAGGGACAUGAGGAAGAACUUCUGUGCUGUGAGCGUGGCACGGAGAGCUGGGGUCUCCUUCCCUGGAGAUGUUCUGGUCCCCCUGGGUGCUCUUCUGUGCAGCUGCUGUAGGGAGCUGCUUCGGGGGGGAGGUGGUUGGACUGAGUCCAGAGGUCCAAUCCUGACCCAUAUGGAUUUAUGAUUCUGUGAACUUCCACAAAGUCCUGAUCCUGCCUCAGAGGAAUGUCUUUGGCUGUGGCUGGUUUGUUUGCAUUGAAGUAUUCACUGAGAAACAGUGGGAUGUGUCCUCCUCUGUGGACUUUGGCGGAGACUCUUCCCUUGAGCACAGGUAUGUGAUCCCAAACAACAGUACCAAAGCUAAAGGCAAGUUGUCAGUAGUGCUAAUGCUGCCAGAGCACUAAUUAUGGCUGAGAGACACUUUCCUUAUAAACCUCUCCUUUGAGCUCCUGAUUGCUACCUCAGAAGAGUAGUAUCGAAUUGUCUUGUGUGAACAUGGGUAUCAGGUUUAUGUAGAAGAGAAACCUGGAUGACAUUCAAUUUGUUUGCUGUUCUCCUCUUCCAGUUUUUGCCUGGAUACAGUUGAGCAUAAAAAUCCCCUCAGCUGAGAAAGCUUUAUAGUUGCACCAAGUUCUCUAAAGCCAUUUCUCCUAAAAUAUUCAGCCUUAGUCACCAGUGAGAGCGCACAGCGUAGCUCUAAGGUUUGUGCAGCUACAAAUGUGCAAAAAGCCUACAGCACAGCACCUGGCACCUGAAGGCUGCCAGUGCAGGGAGCAGUGAACAUGGAAUGGGCUCCUUGGAUGCAUGGAGAGCUCUGUGGCAGCAGGGCUGCCUGCUGGGAGAUGCUGUAUCCUGCUGGAGUUUCCCAGAAGUGGUGGUGGUCCUGCUGCUGCCUCGUGGCUCUUCACUCGUCUGAGUCUCGGUUUCUAAAUCUGUAUGGUAGUGGUUAUCAUCCUUCCCUUCUGCCAUUCAUUUUUUAAUGUCAGUUCUCAGUAGGGAAAGUUUCUUCAUUUUAACAGCAUUGCUUUCAAUUUAACAGCUCUCUGCUUUCCUGUAGAAAAUUGCAAAUAGGUUCUCCCAGCUGCUUUCUUCCUACACUGGGUAAUUUCUUUCCAUGGGACUUGACUGCAGUGUGUUGAGUGGGGAGAAGGAUGCCUGCCAUGAGCAGCUUUUGAUGCUGGGAGGCACUUUGUUGGGUCUCCAAGCUCCUGGCAAUUUCCCUUAGGGCUUCCUCUGAUCCAGAGCAAGGAAAAAAAUGUAAACCAAGGUGUUGGAAUCCAACACAGUAUUUUACCGGGUAGUGUUUUUGUGAUUUAUUAACUCCAGAGUAAAUCAGGGAAAUGUAUGGCAUUACAUUUUUGUGUUACAGCAGCAUCCUGCAUGCGAGAUUGGCUUAGAGGCACUCUGAUAUGGGAACAAUAAAACACAGCUACGAAAGGCGUGUGCCCUGGGAGUAGUUUGCAGUCUCUGCCAGGGAGAUGCUAGGACACAGUGGAAAAGUAUGACGGGUGAAAAUAAUGUGAACAUCUGCUUUCCUGUGUGUAUGACAAAGCGCAUAAUUAGGAGCCUCCUGUAUAUUUUAUUUUAGGCGAUGCAAAAGACAAAGAAAUAAUAAAGCAUCCAUGAAAACUUGAAGCAGUUUGCUGGUGUUAGUGCGGUGGAGUUCUUAGAGAAGGACUUGAAGUUUCAGGAUAAAUUUGGGGCAGGAAAGAAAGGUAUUACAUGGCGUUUCUUCUACCCUUUGCAGCUGCCUCCUUGCAGAGAUGUGCACUUGGCAGUGGGGUGGAAUGAGAUUAAGAAUGGGUAAACUUAUGUGGAAUGCUUGCUUUAUUUAACAUGAUUAUUUGCUUCCAAAUCAUAUCUACUGUGUUCUGAAUGCACUUGGUGCUUCCAGAGUGGUGGUUAAGCUCAGACGAAGACAAAACAAAACAGUGAAUUUUUUUGGCGUCUUAAAUAUUCCGUGAGUUGGAUGCUGUCUCAGAUGUUAGGAGCUGAGUUGUGAAACCAGCUUUGGUCCAGAUCCAGCAUCUCCCCCAAGGAAACAUAGAUAGAAAAGCACGUGAGUUACCAUCACGGCUGCGUCCUGCUGCCACUGGGAUUCUCUGAGAGAGAAAUCAUUUUAGAAGGGUUAGAAAACCCACAGUAAUAGUGAAAGCCAUGAACACCCACAGUCCUGCAGGACUCUCCUGAGGCUACAGGGGACGUGGGGAGCUGCUGCCUUCUCCCGUAACAGAGAGAGUGGAGCAGACAAAAGCCGCCAAGAUCUGAUAAUAAAAUCUGUUUGGAACAGCUGUCCGCUGACAAGUAUAAUAAACUGUAUUAAUGGUGUCAUUAUUAUUCCCUAAUUAAAAGCUAAUAACUAAGAGUUAAUUGCCUUUAAAAGAUGAAGCAGUGCUAAGGCAGGGAUUUAUCUCUGUUUUUCUUUGCUUGCCUGGCUGUGCUGAUAUUUUCAAGCUAAUUAAUUGAAUGAAAUCUUACUGAAAACUAAUAAUCUCUCAGUGUCGACUCAACCAAUUGAAUUAAAAGGUGUUUGCUGUGUGCUGGGCUUAAAGAAACAUGUGUGUGCUCUUUCCAGCUCCACACUGUGGGUGAUGGCAGCCAGCAGUGCUGAGCGCAGCAUGCAGUACUGCUUGAUGGGAAAUUCUUCCCCAGCCGUGAGGAGGGAAGAGGAGCAUUGCAGGGCUGCUCCAGGACUUCGGGUUUUAGAGCCUUUUGCAGCUCCAACAACACCCUGCUGUAUGGAACUGCUGAACCACGGCCUGAACCUCUGAUUGACCACCUGAGCCCUGAGUCGGCCUGGGAGCACAGGUGAAGGCAAUUCGCUGUGCUGCCGGAAAGGUGGAGCCUGGCUGCAGCUCCCCAGACCCAUUUAAGAGCUGACUGCCGGGGGGAAGGGUCUCUUCUGGAGAUCUGCUCUGCUGGAGUUUCACAAGCUAGCCCAGGAUACGGGAGAUUCGGGAACUGUCUCCCCAUAUCCCUUUCCCAGUGGAUGAACUAGUUGAGAUGAUAAGACAAUUUUCACAGCGCCUGCUUGGUGAAAUAACGCUUGUGUCUUGAUCAGCCUUGAUCUGCCAGAAGAGGAGCUGCUGAAGGACUGUGGGCUGUCACCCCUGCUGCAGUCAGAGUUACUGGACUGCUGCAGCUUCUGUAAGCCUGACUCUUGUAAUGGAAGUGUGGUCACUGACCAUGAUGGUAGAGGAGCUGUGUCCUGCUGCCUCUUCCUCGACUAUUCCCUUCACUGCAGACAUGGGAACUCUGGCAGUAAUGAGGGAAACCUCCAUCUGUCUCAUCCAUGUGCUUCCACUGUGAUCUUCAGCUUUGAGAAAGUAAGUGUGAUUCUUCCCUGAAAAAUACCGGCCUGGUCUGGUGGGAGGUGUCCCUGCCCACAGCAGGGGCUGGAAGUGGGCAUCCUAAAGAUCCCUUCCCCUCCAAACCGUUCUAUGAUGACACCCAAACUAAUGGUACGCAUACGCCUGUGUCACUGCAGCUAUUUUGCUAAAUGCUUACCAAAUGAGGUUGUUUCUUUGCAACAGCACGUUUGACUUGUAACAGUGGUCUGUUUUUAGAAAGAACUCAAGGACAGCAGAAGAAGAGCAACCUGGUACCUGUUUGCAUAUGCCAACAAAGAAGGAUUUUGCAGCUGCUGCAUUACACAGAGCAACUGCUUCAUUCAUUGCCUGCUCCUAAUAACAAACAGGUGCAGUCAGCAUUUCAGACAAUCUUCCUUUAAUACAAAGUCAAUAUAUCUACAUACACUGUGGUAUGAAAACCACUUAAUGUUUCAGUUUGAAAUAACAGUGUGAAAGCAACAGCACUUUGCUCUCAUACAAAGAAAAAAAAAAACCUUCCCCCACCCCACCCCAACUCUUCCAGUAAGAUUUUGCUGCAACAUACUUAGAAAUUUGGGCAACUUUUACACAAAUAAGAAGUAAAAUCUUGAAGAAGCUUCUUGUUGUUUUUUUUUUUUUUUUUCUUCAGUUAAAGGCAGGAAAUGGAUUGUUGUGGGGUUUUCUGGGUAGCACUGGAUGGCAAUAAUUACCCCUUCUAGGAAAAAAAAGCCACAGGCAAGCAGUGUCCUGGGCAGUGCAUCUUUUCCAACAUGCUGUCCUCUGUGCACUUCUGCAAGGAAAUUCCUUGUACCCCUGUUACACGUAUCGUAUCUUCACACCAGUGC